UACGUAGGGUGCGAGCGUUGUCCGGAAUUACUGGGCGUAAAGAGCUCGUAGGCGGCUUGUCGCGUCGUCUGUGAAAUCCCGCGGCUCAACCGCGGGUCUGCAGUCGAUACGGGCAGGCUAGAGUUCGGUAGGGGAGACUGGAAUUCCUGGUGUAGCGGUGAAAUGCGCAGAUAUCAGGAGGAACACCGGUGGCGAAGGCGGAUCUCUGGGCAACAACUGACGCUGAGGAGCGAAAGCGUGGGGAGCGAACAGG
rnacentral:rRNA from 1 species